AAUAUUAAGACAGAAACACACACACAUAAUAUAUAUAUAUAUAUAUAUAUAAAUAAUAAUAAUUCCCUCCCCCUCGACCCCCCUCGCUGACCUGUCAGCAGCACGUCAACAUCAGUAUGCAUAACGUAUGCGUGUGUUUUAUCCGAAGAGUUAGCGUGUGAUGACGCGUGUGUAGUGCAAAACAAUAUGGACAGAUUUCUUCAAAGAAAAGCAGUCUGCGGGAAAUGAACCGGACAUGCCGUGUACGGGUAUCCUAGAAACGGGAUGUGUUCUAGAUAUUUGAGUCAAAUAGAAAGCAAAAGCUGAAUCAUGCAACACACAUAACGUUUCACCCCCUUUAUUUACAUGAUUAUCUAGUAAUUUAUUGAACGACAGCUUUGCUUUUUCCAUUCCACCAGUGAACAGAAGCGGUCGAUUAGUGCUUGAUUUUGUUUUUCGUUCUUUCUUUGGUCCGUGUAAUAAUGCGCAGUGUGAGGAAGCCGAAAAAAACAAUAAAUGUCGCUGUGACUCAGGCUCGGCACACGUACCGAUAGAUGUGAAAGCACCGUAAAAGCGCACGGUGAGGCUGAACACAUGACUUAAUAUUAUUAGCUAGUUACAAUUUCUCAUUACACGCAACUCGAUGUUAUAUUUAUUACAUUUCUAGACUUGCUAUGUGCAGCGGUUUUUCUGUGUUAAACCGGCUGUAUGCUCGCAAUGCGUUAUGGAUCAUACCCACAGUAAUACCUUGACCCCUGAUAAUGAUGCUCUUCGUAUAUUAUCGGUCAUAUACUGACUUUUCAGCGUAACACAGAGGUGAGCCGUAUGAGCUCAGUGUCCGUCUCCAGAGAGCUGCUCUGAAACUUCUCGUCAUUAAUGAACGAAGCAUGCUGUUACACACCGGAGUUUGGUAAAAGGCCUCUGUUUGAGAUUUACUAAUCGCCUUUGUUUACGCAAGCCAUUACAGGUUAGAAUGUCUUACGUUGAGAUGCUAAGUGUCCCGGUUUCUGUAAGAUGAGCUCAUAAAUUAUUGACUCUAAUUAGUCUGUCGGACUGCAAUCUGACAUGGUGAUGGAACGGAGAGUUAUUUAUUUAUUUAUUUAUUUAUUUAUUUAUUUUUUACUGCAGUUUGAGUUUUGAUCAUAAACAAUGGCCGUAUAAGCAUAAAAUCUCUCUGAAACACACACACACACCCUCUUCGUAUCAUGGAAUGUGAGCGGUUAUGGGUCACUCCAGAUUGUGAGUUGUAUCCCGCAAAAAAAAAGAUUUUUUUUUUCUGCGUGAAGAAAAAAAAUCAGUGGCUCUGUUUACAUGGACAACGGUAAUCAAAUUUUUGACCUUAUUCUCAAUAAGAUAAUAUUCUGAUUAAGGUGUUUACACGGACAGCAGUAAUCUAAUUACUGACCUUAUUCUGAAUAAGACAAUAUUCUGAUUAAGGUGUUUACACGGACAGCAGUAAUCUAAUUACCGACCUUAUUCUGAAUAAGACAAUAUUCUGAUUGAGGUGUUUAUAUGAGCUGCUUUUACAAUAUUCCGUUCACGUUUCUGUUUUACGUGUUAUAGAACACAGAUGGAUUAACAGCACACGUCAUUACAUCCCCUCCAGACCCAUACGUUCCCUCCGGAAUUUGACGUAUCGACAUGUAGUCGGUCUUCGUUAUGGUCCCGUAUUCAGUUUCGGGUGUUUCAUUUUUAAUUUCAGGAAAACUUUAAGUGCGGUUAAUUAUUCGUCACGCUGUACGUGUAAAUAGACGACCGUUUGAAGCCGUGGGCUGCGUCCCAAACCACGUACUGAAAAACGUUUCGGAUUGUCUUUCAUUACAUUUUUAAACAUUGUAAUUUCACCGUCGGAUGCGGAAAAGUUUUUUUUGUUUUUUUUUUUCGUCUCUCCCUCUUUUUUUUUUUUUUUUUUUUAAUCAGAAAAACCCGCCAUUUUAACAGGGCUGUGUAGACGUCUCGCAUUUUUGCAAGUCUUUGUUGCAUUUUCUGUUUCAUUUUUACGAGAAAGGAAAAAAGGGAACCGCUGUUUAUAGCUUCUAAAGCGUGAGUGAUGAUGGGAUUCACAAGCGUUCUGUUAAAUGUGAUUAAAUUCAAUUUGAUGCGAUUUUAAGAGCAACAAAACGCUUCCAGACAUGCCGGUAUAGGAACGUAUUCACCUUCAGGAACAUCACACAACCCAACUGAUGACUGUUUUCUGAUAACAGCCUGCUCCAUCAGGUGUAAUCUUGUGCGUAAUCAUAACAGUUUCAUCUAAUAUCGGCAGUGUACGAUGCCACAGUUAGCACCAUACCAUAGCUUCCGUCUAACGGUGAAGUUUUUUUUCAAUGUUUUUUUUUCCCCGACUGCAGCUCUUAAGCCUCAUAAAGCUGUAUGAAUAUUUAACCAGGCCGCCGUGUGCACUUGGUUUUCAGUGUCUGCUGAUUUCUGAUUUAUUCCCAGGCAGUGUUUACUGUAACUAGCUGCUCUUAAUAAUUUAGCUUUUUGCCAUUAGUACUUUCAAGGAGUUAUGACCUCCUCUAUUUAUUAUCUCUUGGUGGCCUUCUAAAGUUUGGCACUCCACCGCGUAAUUAACUGCGGGUGUUCGAGAUUGUGCCGAAAGUGCUUUUAAAGUUCGCCGUUCACCUGCAUGAUGUGUGUGCCCUCAUCUCUGUAGUGCAUCGCUGACCUUAAUGGCAGCUUGGAGAACAUAUUAACGAGUCAAUUAUCUAAUCCCACUCUCGUGUAAUUUAUGAAAACAGGCUCGUAUCGAGAAAAUCGACGACGUAUGUUAUGAAGAAAACUCGAUGUGAACACGCGUUAAAAACCUUACAGCCAGGGAUGUUUCGAUAAAGGCUUACAGGGUUCAAUUUUGUUUCUGAGACAAAUGUUACAAAAUGUCCACGUAUAAAUUCCGUUCAGAAUCAAAAUCUUUUGUUUAAUAAGUCGUUUUUACUCAAAACAGGGAGUUUAGAGCGUAGUCGUUUAGGAGAAGCAGUGAGAAGCUCUGCUCUGCUUUGGGGAACGUCGAGAAAAGCCUCCUUGGUGAAGUCGGUCAAGAAGAUGCCGAGAGUGUUCAAAGCUUCAUCAGGAUUACUGUAACGAAUUUGAAUAUAAUUUCGGUUAGAAAGGGUUUGGCAGUUUUUCCGGUCGCUGCGCAAUUCCAUACGUGUUAUUUCAUACUGUUAACGUCUUCAUUGUUAUUCUAAAAUGGGGAAAAUGGAUGAUUUUGUCUCCUUGGAAACAUGUAAGUAUCUUCAUGUAGCUUCUGAAGAGCAGUACUAAAUAGCAAAGAUCUUUAAACAAAAUAAUAACAAUUGACACCGAUCGUCCUGUUAAAAAGUCUGCACAUUUUUGUUGCUUUUAGAUCGCUAAUGAAGGAGUCUGUGAAAUCGAACACACCCAGUGGCCUGUUUAUGUCAAAUAUAUGUCUUCUUUUAGCCUAAGGGUGUAGCAUUUUCAUGUACAGCUGUAUUUCGAUAAAUCAUGAAGUCAUUAAUUUACUGGAGUUGAACACUGGACUAACCCUUGCUUCUCUUUUUGAUAUUUCUCUCAGCCGAAGUACUGUUGACCAUGAGUGGACAAAGCGCGAUUUCCACCAGCAUGGGCCAAGAGCGAGUCUGUGCCCUGCAGAGGGUCCCUACUCAUCCCCAAAACCCUACAACUCUACUUCCCCCUGCUGGAGGGAGAUCACACACACACAUACACACACAUAUACACACACACACACAAAAUUUUAUAUUUUGGACCUUGAGUGUCACCGAUUUAAAUCUAUGGAUCCUACACACACACACACACACAAGGCAAAGUCCAUUUGUUGUAUAUGUAUAAAACCGCAUUCACCGUAGUGUGACUUAGCGUGACUCUCCUAUAAACGGUGGCAUCAGGAUCCUGUGAAUGUAUUCUCUCGCUCUCUCUCUCUCUCUCUCUCUCUCUCUCUCUCUCUCUCUCUCAGUGAAGCAAAUCCACACACACUCUCGUAUUCCCCUACUGUUCCCACAGUCCCCACACAAACACCAUGGCUGCGCUCAACGUUUAGCCAUUUUUGCCUUUUUCAUCUUUUUUUUCUCUCUCUCUCUCUAAAGUGAGAGUAAUGUUAAAGAUUAAAACUCUGCACAGAUCUAAAUGGUUUGCGGGCAGAAUAACGAUUCACGAAAUUUGAUAUUAUUCUGCCCGGUGUGUCAAAGGAACAGUUCAGCCAGGAAUAAAAUGUACACAGUCCCCCCCCCUGCUUAUACUCCCAAAUAUAGUCCCAUCAGCCAAGACAUGUUUUUUUGUUUGUUUACUUGUUUGUUUACUUGUUUAGCUUUGCCCCCGGAGUUACAAGACUAAUGUAGAUAACAAGUAAGGACAGUUUGUCUCGCCGAAAAUAUUUUCCAUAAACACAGAUUAAUAACUCUGUGAAGAUUUUUAACUCGACUAAACGAUUUUGUGUGAAAGUACGUGAUGGUCUGUAUUUAUUUUCAAAAUUUAUAUCCAUAUCAUCUAGCUAACGGAUAAUAUGCCGACAUUAACGGAACAUUCAGUAGGCUAUUCUACAGGUUUUAAGAAUGGUAUGCUGUAGGAUUACAAAAUGAUUGCAUUAUUGCAAUCUUAAAAUCGUUUCUUGUAACGUUAUCGGAACGUUUCACUCUGUUCCCGAAACGCAUUAAGAGUGUUUGGGUUAACAUCCCCUACAACUAAAAAAAGGUUGCAGCAACGUUGUAGGAAUGUUUAUGAAUGUUACAUAUAAGAAAAUUUUUUUAAUGAAAACUCGGUUAUAUUUUGCAUUAAUUAAGAACUGGAUGUAGUUUGACGCACAUGUUUACAGAACAGAUUCUGAAUGAUUUGGACUUUUAUAACUUGAUAGCAUCAUUAACCCCCAGAGGUCCAGUGUGAAACUAAAGAAGUGAAUAUACGAGAUGAAACGUGUCUUGGCUGAUUGAUUGCGUUUGAGGUAGUGAUGACAUUAUGUACAUUUCCUUUUUUUUUGUUUUUUUUUUUGUUUUGUUUUUUGCUAUACAAAUUGCUAUAAAUUUUAUUCUAUUCUCAUGUAUAGAUUUUUUUAAAUGUAGAUAUCUAUAAUGAGCUAGCGAUGAGAAGAAAUCCUGGAGUGAUGCAGUGAACUUCGCAUUUGCUUCUUUAUCUGUAUCACUUAAUAUUUAUAAUUAAGAAAGUUUGGAUUUUGGUCCAGUAGUUUCAGAUUAGAGCAAAUCAUUGAUUUUUUUUUUUGUGUGUGUGUGUGCUUAGCUGAUAGAUUGUACAUACCAAUAAUAAAAAAUAUAUAUAUAAAAAAAUAUAUAUAUUUAUUUUGGAUUUUCAGCUCUUCCGUUUUCCCCUUCAGCCUGGUCUUAACUGCUUCUAGAAUGUUUUCACGUGCGUGUGAUUUUUUUUUUUUUAUUUCUAAUUUUAUUUUUUGUAAAGCUUAGGGCUGGGCGAUAUGGGCAAGACAUCAUAUCAUGAUACUUACACUUUCACAAUAUAUGACAAAUUGUGGUUUGCUAAUAUAAUGUAUGUGAAAAACAGCAAUGCUUUUUAAAGAAAAACAUUUUCUAAAUCUGGCUGAUUUUUUUUUUGACUGCUCAAAACCAGGAUCGAGAGAAAAAAAAGAUAGAUUUUAUAGACAUCCACUGACUGACAUGAGCAACUGUGGAGUCAGUGUCAUGAAAGCAUUACUGCUUAUCACAUUGUUAUAUCGCCUGGCCCUUCCUAUGGUACUGAAGCAGAUGAAGCGGGUUACUUUAGACUGUGUGUGUAUGUGUGAGCUCGCCGUGUGUACGGUGUACAGCUAACUGCUUUGCUUCUCAGCCUUUUAAAAUUAAAAACCCAACACAGCCAUAAACUCGGCACUGACGUGUUGCUUUUGUCUGUCGUGUUCCAAAAAGACGAGCAAUAACUUAGUAAACGUUGCUUUGUUCGUUUUGUAAUUUUGUACAAAUUUUGCGUUCCCAGUUUUUGGACCCAGUAUUACGGAUGGACGUUUUUUAUUGCGGUUUAUAUUUUCGGGGGAGAAAAAAAAAAUACUACUAAUAAUGUUUAAAUCCGUAUGUUCCUCAGUGAUAAGCCGGUGUUGGUGGGACAGCGCUGGACUUCAGGGUGGCUAUAUUCUUACCAACAGGGUCUGCAGAUCAUUAUAUCAGUAUAUGGAAAUAAGAGAGUGGGUGUGUCUUAAAGCCAUGGAUGCAAAUGUGGGUGACUCAGUCCAUAUAUGGAAAUAAGAGCAUCUCUGAGUUGGUGUGUUUAAAGCUAUUAGGAAUAGCUGAUAGGAAUUUCCAUAUAUGGAAGUCAAUCAGAGGAAAAGUGUUAGCUGAGAUAACCUGAUAGGAUUUGAAGUCAUAUUCAUUAUUGUUUAUAAUAAUCACUGUACAUGCUAGCCACACAGUUAAAUGUUUAUAAUAUACUUUGAUAUGCUAGUCAACUAGCUAACAUGCAUUCACCUGACAGGAUUUCUAACAGGAUUUUUUGGUCCAGGUUAUAAAUGUUUGUCAUAUACACUGAUAUGCCAGCCAGCUAGCUAGCAUGGACUAACCCGAAACGCUUUUUGACUACUUUUGAAGAUCUGGUGCUAAUCAGAAAUGUCCUUUCGAUUCGAUAUCUUUCAUAUUAUGGGCUCAAAGACACACCCGCCAGUCUUCAUGUGCCAAUAAUCAGUAAUACAAUAUUUUGUGAUAUUUAUUUAGCACCAUAUUUGUAAAAUAGAGCCUUCAGAGUAUCCCCUGGUACUCUACAUUGCAUUUGGGUGUAAGCAGUGGUUUUGGGGAGAUAAAGCCUGUCCCUUUCAAAUGCACCAUAAAGACAGGUGUCUUACAAGGUCCUUUGAUUUCGACAUGGUUUUAGGCAUCCUUCUCAGGGAAAGGGAGUCCCAUGAAUCUGUUUAACGUGAAAGUUUGAGCAAUAUGUCAGUACCAGUGCGGAUCUCUGGUCGUCGUUAAAGUUGCGCAUAAGUCGUCCAUUUACUAUUUUAUUUUCUCAACAGAGGUCUCUCUUUUCCAUUCCUUUUACACACACUACUCCUUUAUGGUUGACACUUUCGAAUCCCAUUUGGACAUCACUCUGUUUGGAAGUCCAGCGCUGUUGUCCUGGAGGGACACUUGGUUGGGAGUAGCCACUUCUCGAAUCCAAAGAUAGUCGCCAUUUCAAAUGGGUAUAAGCCAUGAGCUGGAGGCGCUGUGGGGUUUUCUAAAGCGUUUUUAUGAGCCACUUUACAUCGAUACCUGUAGUUUCUCUGUUGUGAGUGUCAUUGUGCUCUGUAGUCAGCCAAUAGCAUAGUGCUAACUGCAGGAAGCUAAGAUGCUAAACGCUAUAUGUUGCCUUAGACCUUAAUGUUGCAUAAGAAGAGCUUUGUGUUACAUCUGUACAGUCAGUCACAAUAUGAGCUCACCACCGUUCCCAAUCACUUUACUCACUGUGCCUUUCCUUGUCGCUGGGGUGGUAUCUUUUACCUUGAGAGUGUACCUUUAAGUGUACACUAUAUACCCUUUGAUGGAUAGAUCCAGGUAAAAGAUCCAUAUUAAAGGUACAAAAGAUAAGGGUUCCACCCCAGCAGCACAGAAAGCACUCUAGUGACUAGUCUCUCUCUCUCUCUCUCUCUCUCUCUCUCUCUCUCUCUCUCUCUCUCUCUCAUCCAUUUUUGUUUUUUUGUUUUUUGUGAUCAGCUGUGGGUUUAUUAUUAUUUGUACAGUUCUGAUUUCAUCCAUUCAGUCAUAAUGAUGAUGAUUAUGAUGAUGAUGAUUAUGAUAAUGCAACGGGAAAUCGAAGCAAUAGCCUAUGUAAUUUAUGGACCUUCUGCAGUAAAGCCGACAGUGUUGCGCGUUAUGAAAUGUAUUAUUAUUAUUAUUAUUAUUAUUAUUAUUAUUAUUAUUGUUUUUUUUUUUUUUUUUUUUUUUUUUUGUGUCCGUGCACAUUGAGAGCUCAUCUGUUCACGCGCCUCGGUAUUUCUGAUAUUUAGUGUGUGAGCGUUUUAUGCAAAACUUUAAAGAGGUUAUGCAAGUUGGCAAACUAACGCGGCUUCGCGGAUGCUGUUUGAUGUUUGGAAAUAAUAAUAAAUUACUGUUGUAAAUAAAGAAUUCUGUUUAAAAACCAAAGUGUCUCGUUGAGUGAUUUCCUGAGUGUUCAGUGUGUGGGCGGCGCGUGCGCUUUCUAGCGACACUGGAGGCGCGCGCAUGAGCUGAGGAGUUGUAGAAGCAGUAAUAAUAAUAAUAAUAAUAAUAAUAAUAAUAGGCUUGGUAAUAUCUGCUGUAACUGUUUUUCCG
ensembl:lncRNA